CCUACGGGAGGCAGCAGUGGGGAAUUUUGGACAAUGGGCGCAAGCCUGAUCCAGCCAUGCCGCGUGUGGGAAGAAGGCCUUCGGGUUGUAAACCACUUUUGUCAGGGAAGAAACGGCUCUUACUAAUAUUAGGGGCUAAUGACGGUACCUGAAGAAUAAGCACCGGCUAACUACGUGCCAGCAGCCGCGGUAAUACGUAGGGUGCAAGCGUUAAUCGGAAUUACUGGGCGUAAAGCGUGCGCAGGCGGCUUUGCAAGACAGAUGUGAAAUCCCCGGGCUCAACCUGGGAACUGCAUUUGUGACUGCAUGGCUAGAGUACGGUAGAGGGGGAUGGAAUUCCGCGUGUAGCAGUGAAAUGCGUAGAUAUGCGGAGGAACACCGAUGGCGAAGGCAAUCCCCUGGACCUGUACUGACGCUCAUGCACGAAAGCGUGGGGAGCAAACAGGAUUAGAUACCCUGGUAGUCCACGCCCUAAACCGAUGUCAACUGGUUGUUGGACGGCUUGCUGUUCAGUAACGAAGCUAACGCGUGAAGUUGACCGCCUGGGGAGUACGGCCGCAGUUGAAACUCAAGGAUUGCGGCGNGAGAGNGCGAGACGACGACGAGGGAGGAGG
rnacentral:rRNA from 1 species